rnacentral:rRNA from 1 species
GACGAACGCUGGCGGCGUGCCUAAUACAUGCAAGUUGAGCGCUGAAGGUUGGUACUUGUACCAACUGGAUGAGCAGCGCACGGGUGAGUAACGCGUGGGGAAUCUGCCUUUGAGCGGGGGACAACAUUUGGAAACGAAUGCUAAUACCGCAUAAAAACUUUAAACACAAGUUUUAAGUUUGAAAGAUGCAAUUGCAUCACUCAAAGAUGAUCCCGCGUUGUAUUAGCUAGUUGGUGAGGUAAAGGCUCACCAAGGCGAUGAUACAUAGCCGACCUGAGAGGGUGAUCGGCCACAUUGGGACUGAGACACGGCCCAAACUCCUACGGGAGGCAGCAGUAGGGAAUCGUCGGCAAUGGACGAAAGUCUGACCGAGCAACGCCGCGUGAGUGAAGAAGGUUGUCGGAUCGUAAAACUCUGUUGGUAGAGAAGAACGUUGGUGAGAGUGGAAAGCUCAUCAAGUGACGGUAACUACCCAGAAAGGGACGGCUAACUACGUG